UUGUGGAAUUUUGGUAAUUCUACUAUAAAUACCGAGGGAGUGGUUCUAACCCGCGCAAAACAGUUUUUUGUUAUGUUGUACAUUUGUAAGACGGAGAGUACUCUUAAUGUACCAAAAAAGCAAUAUCAUAUUACAGAUGUGCAAGACCUGUGGAUAUUUUUGUACAGGGUCAUUAAAAAAGUUGGCUAAUGGCACAUUUAUUAUUAUUAAAGCACAUAAUGGCCACCAAAAAAUAUUAAUGAAACAUUGGUCAGAGCAUUCAGGGAAGACCUUAGAAGAAGGGAUUCAUCAGAAAAUGUAACAUUGAUGCAUGUUUACGCUGAAGAAGCUAGAAGAAAUCCAGAAACCUCAAUCCAUCCAUCGUAAUAACAGAUUAUGAACCGGCCUUAAGAGAUACUCUCACGUUUAUAUUUCUAACUGCAAAAAUGACCAGUGUUGGUUUUCGCCACAACCAACUAUUGGCUCAGACAAGUUGGAUUUAACAUUAUUUCAGUGGAUUACCAAGACUAACUAACAAUAGUCUCGAAAGUUUUCAUAAUGCUUUGCGGAACAAAUUUAAUGUAACUCACCCUAACUUAUGGAUAUUUUUAGGUAAUCAGAUUUUCUUUUUUUAAACUUAUUCACUUAACGCUAACUGUUACCAACCAAAUUGCAUUAUAUUACAGAUCACCUAUCUCACCGAAGUAUGAGUUUCCACACUAUAUGGUUCAGCUAAAUAACAAUUUACGGCCAACAAGAAACCACCAAAUAAAUUAUAGAAAUUUAAAUUGUAUCCAACAUGCUUGCGAACAAUAUUCUCUUGGGCUAAUAGUACUUUCAUUAAAAAUAUAAUGGGAAACAUAGAUACCGGAGUCCAAGAGUAGAAGGAUGUGGUAGAAACGGAAGACUCAUUAUAUUUGAAGCUUUUUAUGCGGAAUUUGAAAAUGAGGAGGUAGAGCCAGAUCAAGAAAAUGAAAUUCUUGAAGUAUGCAUAAUUUGCUGUAAUGAAAUUUCCAUCACUAUGGUAGUGCCCUGCCAGCACCAUGUCUGCAGAGUAUGCAUUGAGAGGUGGAUGCGAGAGGGUUGAAGAGUUUGUCCACUAUGCUAAACUAACAUCAUUAUGCUACAAAAUUGCUGCUACUGCUAUGUACCUUUGAACUUCAGACGAGACGAGGAGUGCGCCAAAUAUAGAGGAAUUAUGGCCUUGGAUCGCGUAACACUACUUUGUCGGCCGGACGAUUAGACAGUUUUCCAUACCACAGAUACGCAGGUUACAAUAUACAUUAUAUAUAUUAGAAUCUAACAUGAUGAUGAAGAUAGCGACUACAAACCAUAACCCCAACUUAAAGCAGCUAGUUGAGAGCAAGAUCUGUCAUUUUUCACAUUAAAAACAUUUAUUCAUAAUUGUUUCACUUAUUUAUUAAAUGUAAUUUUAUUUUCAUUUGUUAAAGUUAUAUAAUA
rnacentral:lncRNA from 1 species